rnacentral:lncRNA from 1 species
AAUUAUUUCAUUUCUGCAAAGAUGUUGACAUUACCAGCAGACAAUGCAGUAAUGUGGGAUCUCUGUCUCAAAUAAUGAAUACUCACAGAUUCUUUACUACUGAUUGGCUGAAUCAAACAAGAGAGAAAGUUUAAAAAGCUGCAGGACAAAGAGAGCAUUUGUGAGUUGCAAGGGAAUUUCUGAAGAGGUUCUGAGGUGAGUUUGGAGUCCAGGCAACAACAAUUAGUGAGGCUUCUCAAAAUCACCCGGAAUGAUGAAGACUGUCGUACUGCUAGUCUGUUUCAUAGGCACAAAUAUUGCAUUUCCUCUGUAUCAAGCAAACAUUGGACUGUCUGCAAGUAACAGCCUGGAGAUCUUGCGGAUGAAUGGUCUUGGCUACACUACUGGACUUGACUACACUGGUUUAGGACAAUCGCUGGCCCUGCCAUACGUUCAGUCUUUGGUGCCCCAGCUGCCUCAGGGCGGUGGCCAAGUACUAGAGCAGGUGCCCCUGCCAGCCCAGAGCCCCGUGGGUCCUCAGGUAGUGUUUCAGAGACAAGGCCUGGUGAGCCCGCAGUUCCUGCUGCCUGCGCAGGCCCCGCUGCACCCGGCAGUGCUUCUGCCGGCACAGUCGCAGGUGUUUUUCCCCCCGAGGAAUGUUUUUCCCGUGGGUGCGCUGCCUCCCCCGGUGAUCCUCUCCUCGCGCACCGGCCAAGGCCAGAUGCCGCAGGGUCAGAGCCCACUGGAUCCCCUGGUGCCGGAGCAACCACAACAGACACAGCCACAGGUUGUUUCAAUCAACCCCACUUCAAUGUAUCCACGUCAGACACAACAGUUCCAGGGCUACCCACUCUACAACUACUAUCAGUUCCUUCGACAGCAAAGUAGCUCGUCACUCCCAACACAAGUGCCAGAGGGGACACCUUCUGAACCUGCCAUCCUCCCUCCAACACCUGGACCUUUACAGAGAACUCCUCUAAAUCAUGAAGAAGACAUAAAAGAAACCCAAACUCAAGCAGCACAGGAGUCUACCACUGUGUCAUUUCCAGAAGCUUAUCACAUGCCUACCACUCCUUCUGAUCAGGAUGUUAAUGCAGUUACAGAUGAGCCAAAUGUUGCAAGCCUCAUGGAGCCAUAGAGGAAGACUUUUGAACAGACAGUAGCUAAAAGGGUGAAGGAAAAUCACCACAGAUAUGUUUUGGAUGAGUGCCCCCUAAAGUAAAAAAGCUGAAUCUGUGAGAUGUACAGUAUUAACCACAGUAACACUGUUGCAAGCAUGUUAAAUAUCUGGAGUCCUUCCAUUGUUUUUAUUGCUUUACAUGGAAAAAUAAAACCUCUUGUCAAGCUCCCAGCAUUAACACUGUUUUGUUAAAUGAUAAACUAUUUAAUUAAAUCUGCAUGUUCUUUCUUGGUACUGUACAUACUGUAUGCUAUGUCCAAAACAAAAAUCAAUAAAGUUUUGUUCUUGUAGCCCCACAAAUGUGUGUUUUCACUGAC